rnacentral:rRNA from 1 species
AACGAACGCUGGCGGCAGGCCUAACACAUGCAAGUCGAACGCCCUAGCAAUAGGGAGUGGCAGACGGGUGAGUAACGCGUGGGAACCUUCCCAGUGGUGCGGAAUAACUCACCGAAAGGUGAGCUAAUACCGCAUAAGCCCCUCGGGGGAAAGAUUUAUCGCCAUUGGAUGGGCCCGCGUCGGAUUAGCUAGUUGGUGAGGUAACGGCUCACCAAGGCUACGAUCCGUAGCUGGUCUGAGAGGAUGAUCAGCCACACUGGGACUGAGACACGGCCCAGACUCCUACGGGAGGCAGCAGUGGGGAAUAUUGGACAAUGGGCGCAAGCCUGAUCCAGCCAUGCCGCGUGAGUGACGAAGGCCUUAGGGUUGUAAAGCUCUUUUGCCGGGGACGAUAAUGACGGUACCCGGAGAAUAAGUCCCGGCUAACUUCGUG